rnacentral:ncRNA from 2 species
GUAUCUCCGCUCGGGGGGGAGACCGAUUUCACGCCUGCGGGAAAUCAGAGGGAGGAC